AUUGAACGCUGGCGGCAUGCCUAACACAUGCAAGUCGAGCGGAUGAAGGGAGCUUGCUCCUGGAUUCAGCGGCGGACGGGUGAGUAAUGCCUAGGAAUCUGCCUGGUAGUGGGGUAUAACGUCCGGAAACGGGCGCUAAUACCGCAUACGUCCUGAGGGAGAAUGUGGGGGAUCUUCGGACCUCACGCUAUCAGAUGAGCCUAGGUCGGAUUAGCUAGUUGGUGGGGUAAAGGCCUACCAAGGCGACGAUCCGUAACUGGUCUGAGAGGAUGAUCAGUCACACUGGAACUGAGACACGGUCCAGACUCCGACGGGAGGAAGCAGUGGGGAAUAUUGGACGAUGGGCGAAAGCCUGAUACAGCCAUGCCGCGUGUGUGAAGAAGGUCUUCGGAUUGUAAAGCACUUUAAGUUGGGAGGAAGGGAAGUAAGUUAAUACCGUGCUGUUUUGACGUUACCAACAGAAUAAGCACCGGCUAACUUCGUG
rnacentral:rRNA from 1 species